rnacentral:rRNA from 1 species
GACGUAGGGCGCGAGCGUUGUCCGGAUUUAUUGGGCGUAAAGAGCUCGUAGGCGGCUUGUCACGUCGGUUGUGAAAGCCCGGGGCUUAACCCCGGGUCUGCAGUCGAUACGGGCAGGCUAGAGUUCGGUAGGGGAGAUCGGAAUUCCUGGUGUAGCGGUGAAAUGCGCAGAUAUCAGGAGGAACACCGGUGGCGAAGGCGGAUCUCUGGGCCGAUACUGACGCUGAGGAGCGAAAGCGUGGGGAGCGAACAGG